rnacentral:rRNA from 1 species
AUUGAACGCUGGCGGCACGCUUAACACAUGCAAGUCGAACGGUAGCAGGCUCUUCGGAGCGCUGACGAGUGGCGGACGGGUGAGUAAUGCGUAGGAAUCUGCCUCGUUGAGUGGGAUAGCCUAGGGAAACUUAGGGUAAUACCGCAUAAGCCCUACGGGGGAAAUGCAGGGGACCGCAAGGCCUUGCGCAAUGAGAUGAGCUUACGUCGGAUGAGCUAGUUGGUAGGGUAAGAGCCUACCAAGGCGAUGAUCCGUAGCUGGUCUGAGAGGACGACCAGCCACACUGGGACUGAGACACGGCCCAGACUCCUACGGGAGGCAGCAGUGGGGAAUAUUGGACAGUGGGAGCAACCCUGAUCCAGCAAUGCCGCGUGUGUGAAGAAGGCCUUCGGGUUGUAAAGCACUUUCAAUAGGAAGGAACAAGUUUGCGAUUAAUACUCGUGAACCUAGACGUUACCUAUAGAAGAAGCACUGGCUAACUCUGUGCCAGCCGCCGCCGUAA